UACGUAGGGUGCGAGCGUUGUCCGGAAUUACUGGGCGUAAAGCGCGCGCAGGCGGCCCUUUAAGUCUACCCGUGAAAUGCCGGAGCUCAACUCCGUGCACGCCGGGGGAUACUGGAGGGCUGGAGACGAGUAGAGGCAAGCGGAAUUCCGGGUGUAGCGGUGGAAUGCGUAGAGAUCCGGAAGAACACCGGAGGCGAAGGCGGCUUGCUGGGCUUGGUCUGACGCUGAGGCGCGAAAGCGUGGGGAGCGAACAGG
rnacentral:rRNA from 1 species